rnacentral:rRNA from 1 species
CACGUAGGGGCCAAGCGUUGUCCGGAUUUAUUGGGCGUAAAGCGCGCGUAGGCGGCUUUGCAAGUCGGGUGUGAAAUCCCCAGGCUUAACCUGGGAACUGCAUUCGAGACUGCAUUGCUAGAGUAUGGGGAGAGGGAAGUGGAAUUUCCGGUGUAGCGGUGAAAUGCGUAGAUAUCGGAAGGAACAUCAGUGGCGAAAGCGACUUCCUGGACCAAUACUGACGCUCAUGUGCGAAAGCGUGGGGAGCAAACAGG